rfam:Elusimicrobia bacterium GWB2_63_22 gwb2_scaffold_67, whole genome shotgun sequence.
GUCCCCAUAGCUCAACGGAUAGAGCUCCUGCCUUCUAAGCAGGCGAUCCAGGUUCGAUUCCUGGUGGGGACA